rnacentral:lncRNA from 1 species
GUCACUCGUAUUUUGCUUGUGCUUAAUGUUUUCUGAUUCUACUAGAAAUCUUAUAAGAACUUGUUUUGUUAUAAGUGGAUUUAUGGGAUUGGUUCAUCAAUGGUCUUGGGUCAGAAUCCUUUUUUGACUCUGCACCAUCGAUUCCACUAUUAUUAGUGAGCAAUAAUGGAAAAAUUCUUUCAUAUUCAUAGAGAUAGGGGACAUAAUUCACAUGGAUAUAGUAAGUCUCGCUUGGGCUGCUUUAAUGGUAGUCUUUACAUUUUCUCUUUCACUCGUAGUAUGGGGAAGAAGUGGACUCUAGAGGUACUAUUGAUUCAGUUGAGGAAUCAAACUGUAUCAAUUGUUUUAUAGAUCGUUCUGCAAAGCGUUUUUUUAACUAUUUUAUAUAAUAAAUAAAAAUAUAAAUAAAAAUAUCUUCAUUUUGAAAUUCUAUUGUAUUCUAGUGGAAUAAUGUAUUAUAUGAAUAAUACCUUUUCAAUCAAAAGAAUAUUUCAACGAUUCCCAUGUUUGUAUUUCGAAAGUAAAGUAAAAGGGAUACAGAUGAUAGGAAAUUUAUUCCAGCCAAAUUUGAAUUCUAUUCUUCCUAAAUUUUCUAUUUCGAUGAACUGAUUCUUACCAGAAUUUUAUAUGGACAAUGAGGAACAACGGACCCUUUUUCUUAUUUGUUUUAGUUGUUUCCCUCUUUACUGUUCAAAGAGAAAGAGGAAGUCGUUCUGUUAUUAAGUGGAUACGCACUUUCUAUGGGAAAGAACAUAGACAUGGUGGUUGUCCAGGGAGAUAUUACACAUAAUAAGAUCCUGUCUUGGGCGAGUCCCAUAUUGUGGACUUACCACUUGUUUUAUUAUUUAAAAAAUUGGAUUUAUGCUUUAUCGACUCAUUUCAAAUCAUAGUUCAAAGGUUCAAAAUCGGUGGGUUUUACUUUUACUAUACUUCUUUUUGAAAUCCGAAGAAGUUAUCAUAUAAUUCCCUGGAUCAUCUAUCAAUGGCUCAAUCAAUUACUUCUUUGAAAUGCUAAAAAAAAGAUUACUUGGUUUUCUUUUAUAUAUGCCCAUACUGUUUUUCCUUCAUUGAUUUGAUUCUUUCGAUGGAUACCAGGAUUCAUAUUUGAAAUAAUCAGAAAUCUAGGAAUUAGACCCAUAAGAGUAAGAGUUCACUUUCGAUUAUUUCAAAUUGAUUGUAAUCAAUACAAAUCAAAGCAAAGAAAUAGAAUUGGGGUGCUAUGUACAUAUAUGUAAUUGAUAUCUACAUAUAUGAAAAUACAUAUCGUGGAUUGAUCUAUAUUAAGAUGUUAUACAGUACAACUUUAAAUAACAUUAAUAUAAUAGUAAAUAUAAUAGAAUAAUAGAUAGACUGGUAGAAAGAUUUAUAUAUAAAUCUUUCUACCAGUCUAUCUAUCUAUUAGAAUACUAUUAGAAUACUAAUACUGCUGAUCCUAGUCCGCUCAUUUCAUUUAAGACACUAAAUUGGAAUGGAAUCCUUUUCAUUUUAUUUCUUCAAUUAUUGAUAAGGACUAAGAAGUUCAGUUUCAUUCAAAUUAAUUAUUUUGACUAACUGUUUUUACGUAAAUGAUAAGUAAAAAAGCAGUAGGAACUAGAAUGAACAGUGCAGUAGCAAUAAAUGCGAGAAUAUUUACUUCCAUAAUAUCAUCGUUUCAUUUUUUUUUUUUCGCAAUAACUCGGGAUUUAAUCCCAUAGAGAUGAUAAAUCUUUCGCCUGUAAUGUAAAUUCAAUGGGAUGAAUUACAUCUCGAUGAUAUUGAAUCGGAUCAAUAUCAUGAAUAACAAUAUCUGAGCUAUCAAAUUGAUUCAUCGUCGAGAAUUGAAUAGUAUAACAUAGGAAGAUCUUUUAUCCAUACCGACUCAAAAAUUUUAUUCCUGAUCCACUCAAGAAUUCCUUUAUUUAUCCACUCUUUUUUUCUAUAACCUAUUGCCUUCCUUGUACAAUUAUCAGAUAAAGUAUCAUCUGACCGCUUUUCCACUUCCAUUGAUUACAAACCCAAACAAACAAUAGAAGUGAAAUGGAAAAAAGGAAUAGGGGUUAUAAACUACGUUUUUUAAUGAUCUAAUUUUAUUGGAAGACAAAGAAGGGUGAUAAAGAUGAGUCCUGGUAUAAAAGAUCUAAUAUUCCAUAAAAUUCACUAUUUUAGAGUUUGUUCUUUCUUCGAUGGGACCCCUAAAAAAGAUUAUUCAUUACCUUGGUAAGAGUGGUGGGAUCGUUGUUUGAUCUUUUUUUUUUUUUUUAAUAUCCUCUUUCCUUGGAUUAGUACUCGGACUCAUAUAUCAAAAGGUCAGUAUGAAAUUUGAAGGAGAUCGAUUCUUUCAAAUUAAAAUUAGUAAUUGAAGUUACACAAAAUCGGAGCCAGAAAAGGAGAUAGGUUCAAUUUGAAAAGUAUUCUAUUAGGGUAACUAUGUUAAAUUCAUUUUGUUUUUGUAUCGUACAAAAAACGAAUUCUAUUUGUGUAUGUGCUCCCGGGAACGAUAUGGUACUCUAUUCCAUUACACGGAUCAGGAGUAAUCGAAAAAGCCAGACCCAGACCCAGCACGGUUGGAUACCCGAAUAUAAUGCUACCAAUAAUUGUACUAAUGCACAUAUGUCUCUCUCCCAUCAAUCGGUACUAGUUAAAGUAAUGGAAAUUCCCAUAUUUGUUUGAUGAGAAAUUCGAAAGAAAAUAUAUAUAUAAUAUAAAUAAAAUAUAAAUUAAGAAUAAGCAUCCCCCUAUAGAUAAAUAAAUCUAUUUUAUUUUUUUUUAUUGGAUCCGUCGGGACUGACGGGGCUCGAACCCGCAGCUUCCGCCUUGACAGGGCGGUGCUCUGACCAAUUGAACUACAAUCCCAGGGAAAUAAGGUGUAUAGCCAUAGCCCACAUAUUCUUAUGAUUUAAUUCAACCCAUUUCUAUUUAGAAGGGCCAUCUUAUAUUAUAAGAGAGACGCGAGUGAUAUAUUGAUUAUACACUUGAUUAUACACACGGAUAUGCACUUUAGUGAUUACUAGUAAUCUUUUCGUUAUUGACAAAUCGAUUGAUAAUCCAUUUUUCAAUGAAAAAAGUAUUUUUUUUCUUUACUCUUUUCCUUUCCUUAGACUUUAUACUUACAGAUCCUGAUAUGAAUCUAGAUCAUUAGCAAGAUCAGAAUUUGUAGGAACAAAACAAAUAAGUAAAGCAAAUACAAAUAAAUGGGGGUAGGUAUAUAUCAGAAAAUCUGACUUUCGUUAUUCUUCUGUAUCCGACAUUUCUAACGAACAAAUGGGUUAUAGUAUUUCAUGUUGGAUCAGCGAAUUAUUGGGCCGAGCUGGAUUUGAACCAGCGUAGACAUAUUGCCAACGAAUUUACAGUCCGUCCCCAUUAGCCGCUCGGGCAUCGACCCAAGAAGAAUCAAUUCUAGGAUUAUUGAUAAUCCAUAAUCAACUUCCUUUCUUCCUACCCCCAGGGGAAGUCGAAUCCCCGCUGCCUCCUUGAAAGAGAGAUGUCCUGAACCACUAGACGAUGGGGGCAUACUUCCCCGAUCGCCAUCAUACUAAGAUGAUAGUAUCAAUAGUUUUUUGAAAUUGUCAAUAUAAUGUAAUGGUAUGACUAGAUCCGAAGGAUCUUUCCUUCUUUCAUGAUUCCAUAGAAUUUUUUGAUUCGUCAUUUAGAUUCAUGAAUCAGUCAUUCUAAUCGACAUUCUAUAUAUAAAUCGAUUCUAUAAAUCGAUAUUACUUACUUUACUAUAAGUAUAUAUAAAAUAAUUAAUAUUAAAAAAAAAUGAAAAUAAUAAAGUUUAAAUAAUAAAUAAUGAUAAAGACAAAUAAAAAUAUAAAAUAUAUAAAAAAAUAUAAAUUAAUAAUUCGAAAAUACGAAAGAUAGUCUCUUUUCAGGUAGUCAUUUGUCCGCCAAAACAGGUUAAACACCAUUUCAUUUCUUCCACUGUCAUUCAUUGAUUCACUCAUUGUUAAGAUGAGAUAUGCCUAUCUCUAUCUCACACUAAACUAAGCCAGGAAAUUAACAAACGAUAAAUCGGGGAAGAGGGAUCAAUAAGUUAUCGAAAAUUCUUUUUUCUCUAAGAAUUUGGUUCAGGGAGGGGACAAGUCGAGUCUCUUCAUCACAUGAUUCAAUGAAAUAUCUUGGAUCUAUGUCGAAUUAGUAGGUACAUGUAUCAAUCAAGUUAAUUUUGUUCUGAUGGGGAUCAAUUCAAAAAGCAAUUGGGGUUGGUCUUGAAACAGUUCAUUGCAUUGAUAUUUAUCAAAUCCAAUAUCAAUAAAUCAUUUUACCCGAUACUUGCUAGGUAAAUAAAAUUUCUCGUUCCUGAAUGAGCCACUAGGCAUUAUGAGUUUACUGCAUGUACUUAUGUAUCUUAUGUAUAAUAUAUACACAUAGAUAUAUAUACACAUAGAUAUAUCUUAUCUGCAUAGUGACCAAUUCAGGAAUUGAAUCAAAUGGGCCCUUUUAACUCAGUGGUAGAGUAACGCCAUGGUAAGGCGUAAGUCAUCGGUUCAAAUCCGAUAAGGGGCUUUGCUUUUACUUUUUUCAUAAAACUCCAGUCGUAGUAUUCAUAUUUGAGCGGAGAAUGUAGAUAUUGUUGAUAUUUGUAAUAAAAAAAAAAAUAACCAACUGUAUAGUAUAAUUAUAAGAAGUUAUCAUUAUAAUGAGUUAUAGUAUAAUAAUUAUAGUUAUAAAGUUGAAGAGUUGUUUAAAAUUUAUAAUGAAUAAUGAUAAGUCGUCUCUUGAAUCGCCAAAUAUUCUUAUUUUCCAUUAUUCCAAUCAAAUCCAUUAUAGAUUAGAAAUCAACAAAAUAAAAAGUAAGUGGACCUGACCCAUUGAAUCAUGACUAUAUCCACUAUUCUGAUAUUCAAAUUCGAUAGAGAUGAAAUUGGAACAGUUGAUCUUUUUUUUUUCAUUUCUUUGAACUCCGCAAGAAUUUGUCGAUAUUUCCAAUUAAAUCUUCUUGUUCCUAGGUGUUCCAUAGGAAUAAAUUGCUAUUCCUUUCCUCCACAGAGAAAGGAGUAUUCCAAGUCACAGCAUAAGAG